rnacentral:misc_RNA from 1 species
AAAAGUUUGACAUGGAUAUAUCUAUUUCUAUAGUAGUGGUUGUUGGAAAAAAAAUUAUUCAAACCAUAUUAUAUAAUUAUUUAUUUAUUUUAUUCUACUCUAAAUAAAGUUUUAAUUCGAAUUCUUUACAAAUUACACAAUCUGUAUGCAAACAAUUGCAAAUUCAUAUGUACUCUUGUCCCUUCCCAGCAGAAAUUAUUUUUUUCUUUUUUAAAAUAAUCUCUAUAAUUAAUUUUAUUUAUUAGUAUCAUAAUUAACAAAUUAAUUCUCAUGUUUAAGUACCAUGUGAAAGGGACUGAAUCAAAGUAGCAUAACAUGUAUUUUUCCACUUUUUAUAUUAAAUAAUAAAACAAA